rnacentral:rRNA from 1 species
GAUGAACGCUAGCGGCCGGCUUAAUACAUGCAAGUCGAACGGGAUUGAGAAGAUUGCUUUUCAUGAGAGUGGCGCACGGGCGCGUAACACGUAUGCAACCUGCCUUGUCCAGGGGGAUAGCCCGUUGAAAGACGGAUUAAGACCGCAUAACGGCAUUGAAUGGCCUCGUUUAAUGAUCAAAUAUUUACAGGGACAAGAUGGGCAUGCGUCUGAUUAGCUAGUUGGCGGGGUAAUGGCCUACCAAGGCGACGAUCAGUAGGGGAUCUGAGAGGCUGACCCCCCACACUGGUACUGAGACACGGACCAGACUCCUACGGGAGGCAGCAGUAAGGAAUAUUGGUCAAUGGGCGCAAGCCUGAACCAGCCAUGCCGCGUGCAGGAAGACGGCCCUACGGGUUGUAAACUGCUUUUAUACGGGAAUAACCCCGGUUUCGUGAAACCGGCUGAAUGUACCGUAAGAAUAAGGAUCGGCUAACUCCGUGCCAGCCGCCGCGGUAAUAC